CGCCCAAAUUCUGCCUGUUUGAUGUUUUUCACACAGAAAUCACUGCUGCCUUUGGAGUUCUUCUGCUGCUUGUCCCGGGGGGAGGUCUCAUCAUCAGAGCUGUCGGUGUAGGAGGCAGCUGAGCUGUAGCUGUCCGUCGAUGACUGCGAGAUGGAGCGGGACAGCGAGCGGCGGCCGAUUUUCGUUGGGCGCUUAUUGAACUCCUGCUUCUGGUCAGCAAACUGGAUCUUCUUCACGGUGCGGGGCGCUUCGCUGACGGUGCCGUCGGGGCUGACGAGCGCUUCGGCCGCCGCUCCGCCGUCCGCCGCCCCCCCCACGCCGACCCCCCCGUCUCGGUGCCGGUGCUGCGGGUGGUGGGGGUCGCUCCGCUUCAUGGCCGAGGCCUGAGGCACCUUCACCGCACCCGGCGGGGGCCUCUCGGCCGCCGUGGCCGC
rnacentral:lncRNA from 1 species